UGAUUAUACCCAGGGGCUUAACCAUGAUC
rnacentral:piRNA from 1 species